UACGUAGGGGGCAAGCGUUGUCCGGAAUCAUUGGGCGUAAAGAGCGCGUAGGCGGCCCUGUAAGUCCGCUGUGAAAGUCAAGGGCUCAACCCUUGGAUGCCGGUGGAUACUGCAGGGCUAGAGUCCGGAAGAGGCGAGUGGAAUUCCUGGUGUAGCGGUGAAAUGCGCAGAUAUCAGGAGGAACACCGAUGGCGAAGGCAGCGUCGCUGGGACGGUGACUGACGCUGAGGCGCGAAGGCGUGGGGAGCAAACAGGG
rnacentral:rRNA from 1 species